rnacentral:rRNA from 1 species
GGUUAAGCGACUAAGCGUACACGGUGGAUGCCCUGGCAGUCAGAGGCGAUGAAGGACGUGCUAAUCUGCGAUAAGCGUCGGUAAGGUGAUAUGAACCGUUAUAACCGGCGAUUUCCGAAUGGGGAAACCCAGUGUGAUUCGUCACACUAUCAUUAACUGAAUCCAUAGGUUAAUGAGGCGAACCGGGGGAACUGAAACAUCUAAGUACCCCGAGGAAAAGAAAUCAACCGAGAUUCCCCCAGUAGCGGCGAGCGAACGGGGAGCAGCCCAGAGCCUGAAUCAGUGUGUGUGUUAGUGGAAGCGUCUGGAAAGGCGCGCGAUACAGGGUGACAGCCCCGUACACAAAAAUGCACAUACUGUGAGCUCGAUGAGUAGGGCGGGACACGUGGUAUCCUGUCUGAAUAUGGGGGGACCAUCCUCCAAGGCUAAAUACUCCUGACUGACCGAUAGUGAACCAGUACCGUGAGGGAAAGGCGAAAAGAACCCCGGCGAGGGGAGUGAAAAAGAACCUGAAACCGUGUACGUACAAGCAGUGGGAGCACGCUUAGGCGUGUGACUGCGUACCUUUUGUAUAAUGGGUCAGCGACUUAUAUUCUGUAGCAAGGUUAACCGAAUAGGGGAGCCGAAGGGAAACCGAGUCUUAACUGGGCGUUAAGUUGCAGGGUAUAGACCCGAAACCCGGUGAUCUAGCCAUGGGCAGGUUGAAGGUUGGGUAACACUAACUGGAGGACCGAACCGACUAAUGUUGAAAAAUUAGCGGAUGACUUGUGGCUGGGGGUGAAAGGCCAAUCAAACCGGGAGAUAGCUGGUUCUCCCCGAAAGCUAUUUAGGUAGCGCCUCGUGAAUUCAUCUCCGGGGGUAGAGCACUGUUUCGGCAAGGGGGUCAUCCCGACUUACCAACCCGAUGCAAACUGCGAAUACCGGAGAAUGUUAUCACGGGAGACACACGGCGGGUGCUAACGUCCGUCGUGAAGAGGGAAACAACCCAGACCGCCAGCUAAGGUCCCAAAGUCAUGGUUAAGUGGGAAACGAUGUGGGAAGGCCCAGACAGCCAGGAUGUUGGCUUAGAAGCAGCCAUCAUUUAAAGAAAGCGUAAUAGCUCACUGGUCGAGUCGGCCUGCGCGGAAGAUGUAACGGGGCUAAACCAUGCACCGAAGCUGCGGCAGCGACGCUUAUGCGUUGUUGGGUAGGGGAGCGUUCUGUAAGCCUGCGAAGGUGUGCUGUGAGGCAUGCUGGAGGUAUCAGAAGUGCGAAUGCUGACAUAAGUAACGAUAAAGCGGGUGAAAAGCCCGCUCGCCGGAAGACCAAGGGUUCCUGUCCAACGUUAAUCGGGGCAGGGUGAGUCGACCCCUAAGGCGAGGCCGAAAGGCGUAGUCGAUGGGAAACAGGUUAAUAUUCCUGUACUUGGUGUUACUGCGAAGGGGGGACGGAGAAGGCUAUGUUGGCCGGGCGACGGUUGUCCCGGUUUAAGCGUGUAGGCUGGUUUUCCAGGCAAAUCCGGAAAACUAAGGCUGAGGCGUGAUGACGAGGCACUACGGUGCUGAAGCAACAAAUGCCCUGCUUCCAGGAAAAGCCUCUAAGCAUCAGGUAACAUCAAAUCGUACCCCAAACCGACACAGGUGGUCAGGUAGAGAAUACCAAGGCGCUUGAGAGAACUCGGGUGAAGGAACUAGGCAAAAUGGUGCCGUAACUUCGGGAGAAGGCACGCUGAUAUGUAGGUGAAGUCCCUCGCGGAUGGAGCUGAAAUCAGUCGAAGAUACCAGCUGGCUGCAACUGUUUAUUAAAAACACAGCACUGUGCAAACACGAAAGUGGACGUAUACGGUGUGACGCCUGCCCGGUGCCGGAAGGUUAAUUGAUGGGGUCAGCGCAAGCGAAGCUCUUGAUCGAAGCCCCGGUAAACGGCGGCCGUAACUAUAACGGUCCUAAGGUAGCGAAAUUCCUUGUCGGGUAAGUUCCGACCUGCACGAAUGGCGUAAUGAUGGCCAGGCUGUCUCCACCCGAGACUCAGUGAAAUUGAACUCGCUGUGAAGAUGCAGUGUACCCGCGGCAAGACGGAAAGACCCCGUGAACCUUUACUAUAGCUUGACACUGAACAUUGAGCCUUGAUGUGUAGGAUAGGUGGGAGGCUUUGAAGUGUGGACGCCAGUCUGCAUGGAGCCGGCCUUGAAAUACCACCCUUUAAUGUUUGAUGUUCUAACGUUGACCCGUAAUCCGGGUUGCGGACAGUGUCUGGUGGGUAGUUUGACUGGGGCGGUCUCCUCCUAAAGAGUAACGGAGGAGCACGAAGGUUGGCUAAUCCUGGUCGGACAUCAGGAGGUUAGUGCAAUGGCAUAAGCCAGCUUGACUGCGAGCGUGACGGCGCGAGCAGGUGCGAAAGCAGGUCAUAGUGAUCCGGUGGUUCUGAAUGGAAGGGCCAUCGCUCAACGGAUAAAAGGUACUCCGGGGAUAACAGGCUGAUACCGCCCAAGAGUUCAUAUCGACGGCGGUGUUUGGCACCUCGAUGUCGGCUCAUCACAUCCUGGGGCUGAAGUAGGUCCCAAGGGUAUGGCUGUUCGCCAUUUAAAGUGGUACGCGAGCUGGGUUUAGAACGUCGUGAGACAGUUCGGUCCCUAUCUGCCGUGGGCGCUGGAGAACUGAGGGGGGCUGCUCCUAGUACGAGAGGACCGGAGUGGACGCAUCACUGGUGUUCGGGUUGUCAUGCCAAUGGCACUGCCCGGUAGCUAAAUGCGGAAGAGAUAAGUGCUGAAAGCAUCUAAGCACGAAACUUGCCCCGAGAUGAGUUCUCCCUGACUCCUUGAGAGUCCUGAAGGAACGUUGAAGACGACGACGUUGAUAGGCCGGGUGUGUAAGCGCAGCGAUGCGUUGAGCUAACCGGUACUAAUGAACCGUGAGGCUUAACCUU